rnacentral:misc_RNA from 1 species
GAUGAAGAACGUAGCGAAAUGCGAUAAGUAAUGUGAAUUGCAGAAUUCAGUGAAUCAUCGAAUCUUUGAACGCACAUUGCGCCAGCUAGUAUUCUGGCGGGCAUGCCUGUCCGAGCGUCAUUUCAACCCUCAAGCCCCCGGGCUUGGUGUUGGGGAUCGGCGAGCCUCCGCGCCCGCCGUCCCCUAAAUCUAGUGGCGGUCUCGCUGUAGCUUCCUCUGCGUAGUAGCACACCUCGCACUGGGAAACAGCGCGGCCACGCCGUUAAACCCCCAACUUCUGAACGUUUGACCUCGGAUCAGGUAGGAAUACCCGCUGAACUUAAGCAUAUCAAUAAGCGGAGGA